rnacentral:tRNA from 1 species
GGGGAUGUAGCUCAGUGGUAGCGUGUCUGCCUAGCAAGCUAAAGCCCAGUUUGGGUUCAAUCCCCAGCACUACCA